rnacentral:rRNA from 1 species
GACAGAGGGUGCAAACGUUGUUCGGAAUUACUGGGCGUAAAGCGUGUGUAGGCGGUUCUCUAAGUCGGAUGUGAAAUCCCUGGGCUCAACCCAGGAAGUGCACUCGAAACUGGAGGGCUAGAGUAUCGGAGAGGUUGGUGGAAUUCUCGGUGUAGAGGUGAAAUUCGUAGAUAUCGAGAGGAACACCGGUGGCGAAGGCGGCCAACUGGACGAAUACUGACGCUGAGACACGAAAGCGUGGGGAGCAAACAGG